rnacentral:rRNA from 1 species
ACGCUUGAGUGUCUCUGCUUCGGCAAGCCUCUCGCACCCUUCACAUCCAUAACACCUGUGCACUGUAAGAACUUUGAACUCUUCGGAGUUUGGGGUUCUGACCUUUUUACAAAACAAUUAUAUGUAACAAAUGUAGUCUUAUUAUAACAAAAUAAAACUUUCAACAACGGAUCUCUUGGCUCGAGCAUCGAUGAAGAACGCAGCGAAACGCGAUAGGUAAUGUGAAUUGCAGAAUUCAGUGAAUCAUCGAAUCUUUGAACGCAUCUUGCGCUUGCUGGUAUUCCGGCAAGCAUGCCUGUUUGAGUGUCAUGAAAAUUAUCAACUAUGACUUGGGUUUAGGCCCCUGUCUUAGCUUGGAUUUGGGUGCUUGCGGUAACUCUGUGUGCUGCUCACCUUAAAUGGAUUAGCUGGACAUGUCGUGAGACUUGGUUCUACUUGGCGUAAUAAGUAUUUCGCUGAGGACAUCCCUUUAUUGGGGUGGCCAGGACUCUUGACAAACGUCUGCUUUCUAACUCUCAUUGUUCCCACUCCAGGGACUUGAACUUUUAUGAUCUGGCCUCAAAUCAGGUACGACUACCC